rnacentral:rRNA from 1 species
UACGGGGGGGCGAAGCGUUGUUCGGAAUUACUGGACGUAAAGGGCGCGUAGGCGGUUGGAUAAGUCAGCUGUGAAAACCACGGGCUUAACUCGUGGCCUGCAGUUGAGACUGUCUGGCUUGAGUGUGGGAGAGGAGAGUGGAAUUCCUGGUGUAGCGGUGAAAUGCGUAGAUAUCAGGAGGAACACCGGUGGCGAAAGGCGGCUCUCUGGACCACAACUGACGCUGAGGCGCGAAAGCUAGGGGAGCAAACAGG